rnacentral:lncRNA from 1 species
AUGGCACUUUCAAAAGCAAUGAAUUCUUCCCUCCUUUCACACUGGGAUCUAAGUAGCAUUAUCAUACAGCUGCACUGUCCUCGGUGUGUGGCAGGUUCCCAGUCUCCUGUGUUGCUCUCCACAGUUCCCAGUCGUCCUGGUGUUGCUCUCCACAGGUUCCCUGUCUCCUGGUUGCUCUCCACAGGUUCCCGGUCCCUGGUGUUGCUCUCCACAGGUUCCCGGUCUCCUGGUGUUGCUCUCCGUAGGUUCCCAGUCUCGGUGUUGGCUCUCCGUAGGUUCCCAGACUCCUGGUGUGUUGCUCUCCGCAGGUUCCCAGACUCCUGGUGUUGCUCUCCGCAGGUUCCCAGUCUGUCUCCUGGUGUUGACUCCGUAGGUUCCCAGUCUCCUGGUGUUGCUCUCCGUAGGUUCCCAGUCUCCUGGUGUUGCUCUCCGUAGGUUCCCAGUCUCCUGGUGUUGCUCUCCGUAGGUUCCCAGUCUCCUGGUGUUGCUU